UACGAAGGGGGCUAGCGUUGCUCGGAAUUACUGGGCGUAAAGGGCGCGUAGGCGGGUCGUUUAGUUAGAGGUGAAAGCCCAGGGCUCAACCCUGGAAUUGCCUUUAAUACUGGCGGCCUUGAGUAUGGCAGAGGUGUGUGGAACUCCGAGUGUAGAGGUGAAAUUCGUAGAUAUUCGGAAGAACACCAGUGGCGAAGGCGACACACUGGGCCAUUACUGACGCUGAGGCGCGAAAGCGUGGGGAGCGAACAGG
rnacentral:rRNA from 1 species